rnacentral:rRNA from 1 species
AAUGUUGCACAAUGGAGGGAACUCUGAUGCAGCAACGCCGCGUGAGUGAAGAAGGNUUNNGGAUCNUNAAACUCUGUCAUUGGNNNNNAAUAAAUGACGGUACCCAAUGAGGAAGCCCCGGCUAACUACGUGCCAACAGCCGCGGUAAGACGUAGGGGGCAAGCGUUGUCCGGAAUUAUUGGGCGUAAAGGGCACGCAGGCGGUUAUUUAAGUCUGAUGUGAAAUCUUGUGGCUUAACCACAAGCGGUCAUUGGAAACUGGAUAACUUGAGUACAGAAGAGGAGAGUGGAAUUCCACGUGUAGCGGUGAAAUGCGUAGAGAUGUGGAGGAACACCAGUGGCGAAGGCGGCUCUCUGGUCUGUAACUGACGCUGAGGUGCGAAAGCGUGGGUAGCGAACA